rnacentral:rRNA from 1 species
UUUACGGAGAGUUUGAUCCUGGCUCAGGACGAACGCUGGCGGCGUGCUUAACACAUGCAAGUCGAACG